UCCAGAGGAGGAACCCCUUUCAAAUUGGAGGCUCUGCGGGAGACAGCAGCCAGGGUAUAGAGUGCAGAGGCGCCCUUGGCGGGGAGAAGGUGCUGGUGCUGGACGACAUCAUGGCAGUGGUCCAGAUAGUAGUCGAGGAGAAGGCCAACAUAGAGCAGUAGAAGGACUACCAGCGGGCACAGCCUGGCCCUGGCCCCAGCAUGCCCCAGCAGGCAACAGACUCUCUGGAGGUCCUUUACUUGGAGCUGCACUCUGUGGAUGCCCCAGGCUGCAUGGGACACACGGCUGAGGCGGAAGUUUUGGCCGAGGCGCCUGCCCGGGCUGGACGGCACAGGGGCCAUCAGCCAGGGCAUCUCCCGCUUCUGGGCCUAUUUCUGCAAUGAAGUGAUCAUUAAGGAGUAUCAGGUUGGCAUCUACAGGAUGUCUGGCAUGACUAUAGCCCAGUGGUUCUAGAGUCAUGCAGCAGAAGCCGCCAGCUUCAGGCAGGACACAGCCUAACUGAGCUUCUUCAGCUGGUUGGCUGACCGUGAUCACUCAAAGUCAGCCAGGAUUGCUGAG
rnacentral:lncRNA from 1 species